ensembl:miRNA mir130b microRNA 130b
CUGUUGCCUGACACUCUUUCCCUGUUGCACUACUGUGGGAGCUGCAGCAAAGCAGUGCAAUAAUGAAAGGGCAUCAGUCCACUG